CCUACGGGAGGCAGCAGUGGGGAAUAUUGGACAAUGGGGGCAACCCUGAUCCAGCCAUGCCGCGUGUGUGAAGAAGGCCCUCGGGUUGUAAAGCACUUUCAGUGAGGAAGAACGCCUGGUGGUUAAUACCCAUCAGGAAAGACAUCACUCACAGAAGAAGCACCGGCUAACUCCGUGCCAGCAGCCGCGGUAAUACGGAGGGUGCGAGCGUUAAUCGGAAUUACUGGGCGUAAAGCGCGCGUAGGUGGCUUGAUAAGCCGGUUGUGAAAGCCCCGGGCUCAACCUGGGAACGGCAUCCGGAACUGUCAAGCUAGAGUGCAGGAGAGGAAGGUAGAAUUCCCGGUGUAGCGGUGAAAUGCGUAGAGAUCGGGAGGAACACCAGUGGCGAAGGCGGCCUUCUGGACUGACACUGACACUGAGGUGCGAAAGCGUGGGUAGCAAACAGGAUUAGAUACCCUGGUAGUC
rnacentral:rRNA from 1 species